AUGCACAGAGACAGACAGAGACGGGGAGAUAGAGAGGCUGAGAGAGACAGAGACAGCCCGCCCCGGCCUUCCGGACCGCAGACACCCCUUUUCCCCUUUGCGCGUGGGCCGGACGGGCCAGCAGGGCCAGCAGGGCCAGCAGCAGGACCAGCAGGGCCAGCACGACCAACAGGACCAGCAGCUGGACCAGCAGGGCCAGCAGGGCCAGCAGCAGGGCCAGCACGACCAACAGGACCAGCAGCUGGACCAGCAGGGCCAGCAGGGCCAGCAGCAGGACCAGCAGGGCCAGCAGCAGGACCAGGAGGGCCAGCAGGGCCAGCAGCAGGACCAACAGGGCCAGCACGACCAACAGGGCCAGCAGCAGGUCCAGCCGGACUAGGAGGGCCAGUAGGGCUAGCAGCAGGACCAACAGGGCCAGCAGCAGGACCAGCCAGACCAGGAGGGCCAGCAGCAGGGCCAGCACGACCAACAGGGCCAGCAGCAGGACCAGCUGGACCAGGAGGGCCAGCAGGGCCAGCAGCAGGACCAGCAGGGCCAGCAGCAGGGCCAGCAGCAGGACCAACAGGGCCAGCACGACCAACAGGGCCAGCAGCAGGUCCAGCCGGACCAGGAGGGCCAGCAGCAGGACCAGCAGGGCCAGCAGCAGGACCAGCAGAGCCAGCAGCAGGACCAGCCGGACCAGGAGGGCCAGCAGGGCCAGCAGCAGGACCAACAGGGCCAGCACGAUCAACAAGGCCAGCAGCAGGCCCAGGAGGGCCAGCAGGACCAACAGGGCCAGCAGCAGGACCAGCAGCAGGACCAGCAGGGCUAGGUGCAGUGGGGCUAGCAGCAGGACCAGGAGGGCCAGCAGCAGGACCAGGAGGGCCAGCAGCAAGGACCAGCGGGGCUAGCAGCAGCAGGGCCAGCCGGAUCAGGAGGGCCAGCAGCCAGACCAACAGGGCCAGCAGUAGGACCAAGAGGGCCAGCAGGAGGGCCAGCAGCAGGACCAGGAGGACCAGCAGGGCCAGCAGCAAGGACCAGCAGGGCUAG
rnacentral:lncRNA from 1 species